CACUAGUAUCCCCCUCCUUGUUCAUCCAUAUUUUGAUCUACAACCAUGCAUCCUCUUGAGAUGGUAAGUAGAACUCCGGUGUUUCCAACAUCAUCACCUUCUUUAUGUUGUCUGCCUUUACUAACAAUGUUGCUUAUGGGUUUCCAUGAGCUUCAUCUUGGUAACUGGCUUCUUUCGUUUGUUUGCCAGUUAUCUUUAAUUUGCGGUUGUGCUCGAAGAGCUGAUCGGGGUUGGAUGUUGCAAUUGGCGACACGUUGAAUGGUUGUGGGCUUGGAAUUAGACGGAUCGAGAAACAGUAUUGGGGCGGCGAUAGCGGUAGAUUUUUCUGUUUUAUGUAGCUUUGCUUUUGUUUUGGAGCCUCAGCUGUCGGCUGGCCUUUUGUUUGGCCCAUUUUGGCUUGUUUAUAUAUUUUAGCUUUGGGCAUGUGGUUUGCUUAAGUUUGUGGUUUGUAAUAAAAGUAACUUUUCACCAAAAAAAAAAAAAAAAAAAAAA
rnacentral:lncRNA from 1 species